rnacentral:lncRNA from 1 species
ACAGCUUGCAGCACAAUAGGAAGACCUCCAUCACAAAGCCAGCAGUGCGGCUGGGUGCCAGCUGUGAGCAAAGCACAUUCGCCCGAAAUGAGGACAAAACCAGGAGCAGCCUUCGACCUGCUCGCCCCCUGCCCGGGCGGGGGACGCGGUACCGAGCUCUCCUCCCGGGUAGGCCGGGCACCACAGGACAGCCCGAGCCCGCGGUGGGCUCUGAUGGCGUUUCCUUACCGUCUGCUGCACCGCCCGGAAGGUGGCAUCCAACAGCAUCAGCUUCCACGAGUCCGACACGGUGCCGGGCAGCGGCAGGACAUAUGUCCCCUCAGCUCUGCAUCCAGGAUCCUUGAAUAGCUGCCUUUUUCAAACCUGGGUCUCGCCCUCCUUUCUUGCCUACUUAUCUACUAGAAAACAGGUUUUUGUGUUUCUCAUGCUCCAAGUGACCCCACACAUCUCCCUCCUCUCCCACCUUUUGAAAGCUAUUGCUCUUGCUAGAUGGAAUAAGUAUGUCCAGUGGAAUCUAUGUUCAUGGCAGUUAGUUGGAAACGUAAAACUCUUUGGUCUGAGAAAGAUUCCCUUCUUUAAAAACAGUGGCAAAAAUCAAACAAAUUUCAACCCAAAUCCAAGCGCUUGCAGUUUUUCUAGGGGACGGGCAGUCUGUCUACACAAACUCACACCCUGAAGCCAAGAACCAGCAAGACCUCACCAAGAAACCCGAACAACUGCAGCACACCGAGCUCACAGACAACACAGGGCACCGACGUUCCCUUCAGGCCUCUCGGGGUUACAGCUUUUCUCUUGUGGCUGCACGGCUUCUUCCAGCAGGUGUUACAUCACCGCUCCCACGGAGAUGAUGUGAUGGGACUCAAUGAAUGACUUCAUCUCCUGGAAUUUUCUUCCUGUGGGCGUUAAUGCAAGGGGAGACUGUUUAACUAUUGAGUAAACAAUACAUUCAUGGGUUAUUGAUGUCUGGGUAACUGGAAGGAACAGCAAGUUUCAGCUGCUCACUGCAUUCUAUGCAGCAAAAAAAAUAACAGGUGCUUGUAUUUUAGAGCCUUUUGUAAAGAAAAGCACUGAGAUUUUUAAAUGUCAGAUGUAAAAGGAAUAGUAAUUAUUUUGUCAUCAGGUCUGAUCUUAGCUUUGGUGGGAAUAAAAGCGUUUCAUUAAAAUAAUUCGUAACUACUCUUCUUCAGUGAUUGCCACCAAAAAUUUGGCUGUCCCAGGAAGGAGAGCUGAGGAGGUUCGAUUAG